UGUAGGAGGAUGGAAGGUAGAGGAUGAAGUGCUUUGAGAUUCAUGUAAGUGAAUAGGUGAUAGAAGACUAAGUGCUUUAAGAUUUGUGCAAGCAGCUAAGGAUAGAGUGCUUUAAGAAUUAUGUAAUCAGAUAAAUGAUAGAGAAUGGAGGGCUUUAAAAUUUGUGUAGAUGAAUGAAUGAUAGAAGAUCGAGCACUUUGAGAUUUGUACAAAUGAAUGGAUCACA
rnacentral:lncRNA from 1 species